GCCUCUACUAAUAAAGUGUCGCACUGCUCAGGACAUGAAAUUUCCUGGCUAGUUCUCUAAAUAAAUAAAGAAAUAGCUAAAUGAAAAUGACUCUAAGAAUACUCCACGAAUAAAAGUGAAGCUCAUCAAUAUCACUGGAAGGGAAUGAAGUCCUAACUCGUAGCCUACUCGCCUGCAAAUCGGGUUCCUACGUUGUACCACUGACCAACGUAGGUUCCCAAACGAGAACUUCCGUACCAUCCAUUGUACUCAGUGAGUCUCAACAACAGGGGGAGAAACUUUAAUAGCAUAUACAUUACGUGCAAAGGUUCUAGAUGCAUGUAAAACAUAAGGCUUAUAAGAAUAAUUCUAAAAUAAUUGCAUAAAUACUUCACUUUAUAGUUUAUACAUUGGGAGUUCCAACUAUUCUGACUUAAUUCUGUCUCAGUUACCGUGUGAUCGGCACGGGUUCCAUCCCAACCUGAUCGAAUAGGCCCAAUCCACGAGGUGCCACUUGAUUCAUGGUUCUCAGCGCUCAUGUAUCAUACCUUAGCAUGACUAAGUAAAUUCUCAGCAACGAGACCCUCGGCUCGUGUGCUCCCUACUUUGGCACAAGUAGUUUUUGGAAGUCAACGCCUUGGUCAGGACCCUCGGCCUGGACGAUGACCCCUUUUCAGAAUAAAGGAUACUUCCAAAAAUCUUUUAUUUCUAAAAUUUCUUCUUGUGACCUUUCAAGUCUAAAUCUUUUAUACAUAUUUAUACUGGUAUCCUUAAAUGUAAGGCAUGACAUAAGAAUGAAAUAAACAUUCAAAAGUAUUUAAAAAGAUUCUUGAUCCUUCAUGAACUGUCAAGAUGAAAAUGGCAUUUAAGAAUAACAUAAAAUCUGAAAAUUUAUGCACAUAUACCAUUAUAAAUCAUCUAAACUUUAGCUCAAACACUUCUAAGUUAAUAUAUUUUCAAAUCUCAAGUGUACAGGGGUUAUGACAGGAGCUUAAAAAAAUAUUUGUACUUAAAUGGUAAGGUCAAAAAUAGAGAUAACUCUAGAUCUUCACCACGAGACUUCUUAAUAGCAUUCAACAAACAUUUAGAUUAUGCUUUGUGAAAUAACUGGAGCUAGUCCUCUCUAGCAAAUUUGCUCGUUAAGCUUAUUUAUAAUAAUUCAGUUGCUAGCAAAAUCAAGAGGCAACUUGUCCAGUAAUGGUUGUUACUAAAGUAUUAACCAUCUUUUUGUUAGAAGCAUUGAAGAGAGAAACGAGCAACUAUACUCGCUCAAAUUAAGUACGUAUUAACUCUUUUAGAAAAUUCAUCAAACACUUUGUAUGUAUGCUUUAGUGAGUUAAACCAUUUUAGUAAAGGAUUAUAUCAACUCAGCUCAAAACUUCUCGAGCCAAUACGUAUGCCCCAGUCCAAUUGAUACCCGUCAAACAAUUGAUUCUACAACAACCGGGUAUUUUAAUUAAUUUCAAAGUUUCAAACCUAAACAUGGGAUUUACUAUUAAUACAGAAAAAGAAGGGAAUUAAUUAUUCAAUUCUUACUUAUUACUAUUAUAGGAUAAUUGAGAAUAGAAAAUUUUAUAUACCUGAAUUCAAGAAUCGGUGGUUUGUAAAGAACCCUAAAAAAUCUUGCGCUACCUGCGUAAACAAAAUAGCAUUCUGUUUCUUGUAUAAAGGCUGAGCAACGUGCUUCUUAUUAGUUUU
rnacentral:lncRNA from 1 species